AAACUGGGAUUAGAUACCCCACUAUGCCUGGCCCUAAAUCUUGAUACUUAUCUUACCAAAGUAUCCGCCAGAGAACUACGAGCGCAAACGCUUAAAACUCUAAGGACUUGGCGGUGCCCUAAACCCACCUAGAGGAGCCUGUUCUAUAAUCGAUAACCCACGAUUAACCCAACCGCCCCUUGCCAGACACAGCCUACAUACCGCCGUCGCCAGCCCACCUCGAAUGAGAGUACAGCAGUGAGCGCAACAGCAUUCCCGCUAACAAGACAGGUCAAGGUAUAGCCCAUGGGGCGGAAGAAAUGGGCUACAUUCCCUAUCACACUAGGGCAACACGAAAAGAAGCAUGAAACUGCUUCUAGAAGGAGGAUUUAGCAGUAAAAUGAGAUAAUAAAGCCCAUUUUAAGCCGGCCCUAGGGCACGUACAUACCGCCCGUCACCCUC
rnacentral:rRNA from 1 species